CUUGUCAGGAAGGGCACAGAAUGGGACAGAGAUAAACCAGACAGUCAUUUUGAUCUGCUCUCUACGGUUUUUCAAGUCAGAGGCAAUUGAUGCUUGUCUAAUGCAUCCACACACUGCAUGUCUGACUGGCGAUGCCGCGCUCCUAAGUAGUUCUGCCAUGAAACAUAAAAGACAAAGGAAAAGCCGUUACACAUCACACAGAGAACAUUUUCGGGUCCCACAGCGGUGGUGGCAGGAAGCUCACUCUCGCGUCAGUAUUAGAGUGUGUGUGUGGGUCUCGGGGAUCUCGGUGGCUCCCAUCUUCCUUCAUUGUUCUGAACAUCCUGUAUUGUAAACCAUGGCUGGGGUGCUAAAGUGCCUGUGAAUCCCGAUGUGGAAAAAGCUGGAGGUGAAAGCUCAGCAUACCAUGUAUUUACUUUAAAAACAGAAAAAAAGACAUGUAUGGAUAUGUCUAUUUUUUUUUUAUUGGCACAUUGUAUUUUUGUGUUGACUUGUUUUUAGAAAUGAUGUGUCCACACACGUACCCGUGUCUCUUCUGCAUUUCUGUGUCAUGGUUCUGUUUCUUAAUCACGUGCGGCGGUGUCUAAGUGGUGUUACCAGUGUACGCGCAGUGACCUUGGAUGACAGUGGCUCUUUCUCACAGCCUCCCCUGAGCUGUGAGAAACAGCUUUCUCUGUACAUAUGCAAC
rnacentral:lncRNA from 1 species